UGACAUUCUGGGGGAAAUGUGGGG
rnacentral:piRNA from 1 species